CUUGGCCCACACUCAGCUGAGGCUGUAAUUUCCGUCUGUUGAAGACAGUGCACACAUUGGAGCCGACCCGUCUGUUGGCAGCGUUACCCCUCAGAGGAGCAGCAGCACCCCAGAGAGCGCCUCCGGGCCUCCCCGCCCGCCGAGCCCGGCGCUGCUCGGCCGCGCACUGCGCGCCGGCCCUCACGGCUCUGAGGCCAGGCCUCUGCGGCCGGGGCAGCGCGGCGGGAGCGUCACCGCCCGGCGCCGUGAGGGGACGCAGAGACGGCCCGGCCUCGGCUCCCCGGCGCCGCUCCGCACGCCCACGGGCCGCUGUAGCCCGCACCGGGCCCGUGAGAGAAGCGACGAUGGCCGGUAGUGAUGGCCUGCACUGGGGCCCGGCCUGCAGAGUCGAUAUGUUUUGUAACUACGACAUGCGGGCCCGGGCCCUGCGGGGGGACGGGCGCCACCGGGUGGAUUGCCGAGGUACAGCCGCGAUUUGCCUCCGAGCGUCACCUGAGUCCUGCGCUGCGCCACGGAAUCACAGAAUAUUCUCUGCUGGAAGCGACCCGCAAGGAUCACAGACCCCUUACGCACUUACGUCUCAACAAUCUUUACAUUGGUCUCCUGUACCUAAGGAUUAGAAUUCGGCCUUUGAAAACAUGAUGGCCUUUUGCUGAGACCACUGUCCAUCCAAUGGAGAAAUACGCUUUCAUAGUCUCCUGUGCUGUUUAUUCACAACUUUGAAUGAUAUUGGGGUUUAAGACUAUCUUUGAUUGUCCCUCUAUAUUAGAGCAGCAGUUAUCUCAAAAAUAUCAUUUUUGAGUCAUUACAGUUUAUGUAUGCUUCAUGCUACAGAUAAUAUGAAAGAAAGUAUUAUGAAGGCAUUGGCUAAAACAUGAUGGAUCAUGUAGGAAGCAUCAAUAAGGCAAGAGAAAUAUGUUCAACAAAAAUCUGUAUGUCUUAGGGAAGAAAAUAUAAUAGAUCAGCAAAAGAAAAGUGUGAUGUCAAACAAUUUUUCCACCCGGAUUUUGGAUGAGGCCUUCAUUUAUGCCCAUUAACAUUCCAAAUAGGUCCUUAAUUUUUAAAUAAUGUCUUGGAUGUGAAAAUCUGUAUGUAAAAGUUAUCUUUUUAUCUAGAAGAACAGUUUGUUUCUGUGAAAAAAAACUAACUGUUCAUGUGUGAAUAGGUCUGAUUAUUAAUAGUAAAGGCAAUGGUGUUUUAAAAUAAAUAAUCCUGUUUCCUGGUUUCA
rnacentral:lncRNA from 1 species